rnacentral:rRNA from 1 species
UACGUAGGUGGCAAGCGUUGUCCGGAUUUACUGGGCGUAAAGAGCGCGCAGGCGGUCAGAUAAGUCGAAUGUGAAAGCCCCCGGCUCAACUGGGGAGGGUCAUUCGAUACUGUUCGACUCGAAGGCAGGAGAGGGAAGCGGAAUUCCCGGUGUAGUGGUGAAAUGCGUAGAUAUCGGGAGGAACAUCAGUGGCGAAGGCGGCUUCCUGGCCUGUUCUUGACGCUGAGGCGCGAAAGCUAGGGGAGCAAACGGG